GACGAACGCUGGCGGCGUGCUUAACACAUGCAAGUCGAACGGAAAGGCCCCUUUGGGGGUACUCGAGUGGCGAACGGGUGAGUAACACGUGAGUAACCUGCCCUUGACUUCGGGAUAACUUCAGGAAAAUGGGGCUAAUACCGGAUAGGAAUCCUUGCUGCAUGGUGGGGGUUGGAAAGCUUCGGCGGUUUUGGAUGGACUCGCGGCUUAUCAGCUUGUUGGUGGGGUAGUGGCUUACCAAGGCUUCGACGGGUAGCCGGCCUGAGAGGGCGACCGGCCACAUUGGGACUGAGAUACGGCCCGGACUCCUACGGGAGGCAGCAGGGGGGAAUAUUGCACAAUGGGCGGAAGCCUGAUGCAGCAACGCCGCUGGCGGGAUGACGGCCUUCGGGUUGUAAACCGCUUUCAGCAGGGGCGAAGCUUGUUGUGACGGUACCUGCAGAAGAAGCACCGGCUAACUACGUG
rnacentral:rRNA from 1 species